rnacentral:tmRNA from 1 species
GCCGCCUCAAAGCGGCUAUGGCGAUAAACGACGUCGGAAUAAGCUCUUUGGACCCGGGGGCGGUACCCGGCGCCUCCACCA